rnacentral:lncRNA from 1 species
UAUCUAGAAAAAAGUUUUUGAAUUUGUUAUUAUUUGAACUUUACAUGUGUGUCUUUUCUAAUCAUUUGCAUUUUUGCCAUUUUUGUCCCACCUUGACAAAGUCAUGAAGGAGAUACUUUUUCAGCAGUGUCAACAAAUUGUUACUGUUUGAGGUUAGAUCAGUUUUGAAUCUUUUACUUGGUUAAACAUGUUAGAGUUUUUGGAUUUGUCACUUUAAGAUGAAAAAGUAAAAUAACAAAAAUACUGAACUCAGUUAAAAUUUUUAACGGAAGGUCCCUUAAUUAACAAAUGGCAAAAUCAAAAGCUUAAACACAUCAAAUGAAUGAGAUGAACAACUGAUUGUAAGGGAAUGAUAUUUGAUAUUCAGAUUAUUGCAACUCAUUUUUGGCCGCAUCCCUCAAUCAUAGUCUAUUGACUGAAACUUUAACAUAGUUUUCAUGUUAAUGUUUGGGGUAAGGUUAGAAAAGGGAACCAACCAUUUAUAAGUGACUCCACUUAUGAUUAAAAUAAUAUUUGGUAUAGACUUGUAUAGUAUUAGCAUAUCUCAUUUUCAAAAAGAUUACAUUUUAUAUGGCCCUGCACCUGCAUUUAUAGUUCAUUGGCUUUGAAAGUUUUGCCAUUUCAAUUUCAACAGUUUUUACUGAAACUUAAGUAUGAAGACUCCAAAAGAAUCUUGGACCUAAAACCUUCAUUUUUGCCAAUUUGGUAUUCAAAAUUGUCAGGGUUUACAAGGAAUAAAGUACUAGUACUGUCAAUUCAAAAUUAUAGAGUACUUUUAUUAUUGGGAAUUUUAAAGAAGGGACAAAAAUGUUAAAAUAAUUAUUGUGAUUUAAGUAAAUGCUGCAUACAAGUACCGAUUAUCAGGUUGUCUGCAUGUUGAUAUCGUAAAAUAUCAGCUGCGAGACAUAAUAUGAAGCUUUUUGUCGAGUAAGCGCAGCGAACGAGAUCAAAAAGCCUUCAUAUUAUGUCGAGCAGCUGAUAUUUUACAAUAGUAAUAUGCCGAUAACCUGAUAAUCGAUUUAUCGGGCUGUAUUUGCGUCUUUUGGAAGUAUUGUCUUAGUUUCACUAGCAACCGAAAGUUGACUUGAUAAGUUCGGGUCAAACUUAUCAACGUCGGUUCAAACAUUAUGACGUCGCUGAUAUGUCCGGGUCAAAGUUAUUAAGGCCAGGUCAACGUAUUUGACGUCACAAAGCUGUGAUAUGGAGUUUUAUUAAGAGCUGAGCAGAUUGAUAUAGACAGUUGGACGACCAAUAAAGUGUUAUCAAAUUUCAUAAUGAGAGUUUUUAUUUUUGUUCAUCCUAUUCUAUCACAAUUUUCAAAAUAAUAAAAAAACAUUGCAAAAAAUCUUAGAUUUACAGUAAUUCAAUUAAUACUUUUGUGGCAUACAUUUUGCUUUGCAUAAUAGCUUUAUAUGUUGACAGUGUGUACUGAUUAAUUUACAGUAAAAUGUUAGUUUAUACUUUACAUGUUUGGUGUGAUACUGGUGAAAGUGUUUGAUAUAUUUAUAUGUUUUCUGUAGAUCUACUAUGCAAGAAUGUUAAAGAGGGUAGAUUGAUAAAAUAAAUACUUUUGAAA